GAACGUUUUGGGUUUCUCAGGGACUUUAUCAUUCAUGUGUGAGAACCUCUCGUAACUUUGCGCAAAACCGCUCAAUUUUGCCUCAGAAUCUGUUGCCUCCGUAUUUUCUUUCGUUUCUACUUGCGUUUCUUUCUCGACACCGGAUUUCGAAAUCGGCGACUCUUUGUUUUCUCCCUCUGAAUUUUUCUCCGCGCUUAAACACCUCGUAGAAUUCACCCUGAAGACGUUGAGAGAUCGCAAAUAUGUCAACGUUCUCUCGAAACGAUAUAUCUUGUUCAUGGUUACAAUAAAAAUACGUUUUCUAUCGUCACAAUCACUAAUCCUCUGCCGUAGAUUCCAGCAGAAUUCAGGUUAUGUAAAAACCCACGUGGUGUCGUUACGACUUGUUGUUGUUGUAAGAGAACCUGUGUACUUUGUACGACUGGGAAUUGUUGAUCCUGUCUCUGGAAUUUCGUGAAUUGGGAGCUUUUAUUUUUAAGAUAAAUAUUGUUUCAAAAGGCAUCUCUGUCUCUUCCGAAAUAAUGCUACCUUCUUCGAUGUUAAGUAUCAUAAGCAGGGAAAUUUCCACGUCAGCCUCUGCAAAUCAAAUAUUAAAUUAAGUCGAUUGAGGGUGGUGGAUAACAGAAAUAGGAAAGGAAGCUAUCGCAGAGAGUAGACCACAACAAUGACCAUACAUGUUUGUUGAAGUAGGAUAUACUGGUGAGACAGAAAAUAGAAAUGAAAUAUACUUGUGAGAAAUUUAAGUGGGGAAGGCUCACUUCAACAAACUAUAGAACUCAUUGACUAUAGUGGGUGUAGUUACAAAAUAUAUGCGACAAAAUACGUCACUACCGAACUCGUAUAAUACCGGCAUAAUAUUGUGAAUUGACACAGUCUAACGCUGACGUGGAACGUUGUUGCAUGUUAAAUACCGUUAUUAAUAAUGUAUUUUGUUAUUGUAUUGUAGAAUUAGUAAACAAGCGAUAUAUAUUUUGCGUAAAAGUUCGGGAUAUGCAGUUAUCUGAUAGAGUAUGAUAAUGUGAUAAAAUGAAACAUAUUAUAAAGCAAGUAGCUUCUUGUGUUAACUGUAUGUGUUUCCGGAAUAUGUUUUUAAUUGAAUAAUUAUUCAGUCUUUUGUGGCGUGAAAUGUGAUAUGACAAUACAAGAAGAUACUACCUCUUAUAUAAAAAAGAAAUAAAAUAUUUUUAUAAAAAAUAUGUUAAAUUAUAU